rnacentral:rRNA from 1 species
UACGUAGGUGGCAAGCGUUGUCCGGAUUUACUGGGCGUAAAGAGCGCGCAGGCGGCAGAGCAAGUCGAGUGUGAAAGCCCCGGGCUUAACUUGGGAAUUGCGCUCGAAACUACUUUGCUGGAGUGUGGCAGAGGAAGGUGGAAUUCCACGUGUAGCGGUGAAAUGCGUAGAGAUGUGGAGGAACACCAAUGGCGAAGGCAGCCUUCUGGGCCAACACUGACGCUCAUGCACGAAAGCGUGGGGAGCAAACAGG